UACGGGGGGAGCAAGCGUUGUUCGGAUUUACUGGGCGUAAAGGGCGCGUAGGCGGUCGUGACAAGUCACUUGUGAAAUCUCCGGGCUUAACUCGGAACGGUCAAGUGAUACUGUCGGACUAGAGUACAGAAGGGGCAACUGGAAUUCUCGGUGUAGCGGUGAAAUGGCGUAGAUAUCGAGAGGAACACCUGCGGCGAAGGCGGGUUGCUGGGCUGAUACUGACGCUGAGGCGCGGAAAGCCAGGGGAGCGAACGGG
rnacentral:rRNA from 1 species